rnacentral:rRNA from 1 species
AAGGCGACGAUCAGUAGGGGUUCUGAGAGGAAGGUCCCCCACAUUGGAACUGAGACACGGUCCAAACUCCUACGGGAGGCAGCAGUGAGGAAUAUUGGUCAAUGGACGAGAGUCUGAACCAGCCAAGUAGCGUGCAGGAUGACGGCCCUAUGGGUUGUAAACUGCUUUUAUAAGGGAAUAAAGUGAGUCUCGUGAGACUUUUUGCAUGUACCUUAUGAAUAAGGACCGGCUAAUUCCGUGCCAGCAGCCGCGGUAAUACGGAAGGUCCGGGCGUUAUCCGGAUUUAUUGGGUUUAAAGGGAGCGUAGGCCGGAGAUUAAGCGUGUUGUGAAAUGUAGACGCUCAACGUCUGCACUGCAGCGCGAACUGGUUUCCUUGAGUACGCACAAAGUGGGCGGAAUUCGUGGUGUAGCGGUGAAAUACUUAGAUAUCACGAAGAACUCCGAUUGCGAAGGCAGCUCACUGGAGCGCAACUGACGCUGUAAGCUCGAAAGUGCGGGUAUCGAACAGGAUUAGAUACCCUGGUAGUCCGCACGGUAAACGAUGGAUGCCCGCUGUUGGUCUGAAUAGGUCAGCGGCCAAGCGAAAGCAUUAAGCAUCCCACCUGGGG